GAUGAAGAACGCAGCGAAAUGCGAUAAGUAGUGUGAAUUGCAGAAGUACCGUGAAUCAUCGAAUCUUUGAACGCAAAUUGCACUCUCUGGUAUUCCGGGGAGUAUGCCUGUUUGAGGGUCGCUUAACAAACCAUCGAUUUCGUUGCUUUUUUUUUUUAAAAAAGUGAUGUUUAUCGGAUUUGAGCCGUCUUUUUUUUUAUAUUUUAGUGGCUUAAAAUUGAUUUUUUUGGUACGAUCGAAGCGUAUUUUUAUGAUCAAUUUUUGGUUAAAGAAACGCACACGUACCGUUAUUUAUAUGAUGUAAUACGUUUGACUAUUGGAUUUAGUUCAUUCGUAUACGAUAUUUUUCAAUAUUUGACCUCAAAUCAGGUAAGAACACCCGCUGAACUUAAGCAUAUCAAUAAGCGGAGGA
rnacentral:misc_RNA from 1 species